AUCAUGGGCGCAGCCUGAUGCAGCCAUGCCGCGUGUAUGAAGAAGGCCUUCGGGUUGUAAAGUACUUUCAGCGGGGAGGAAGGGAGUAAAGUUAAUACCUUUGCUCAUUGACGUUACCCGCAGAAGAAGCACCGGCUAACUCCGUGCCAGCAGCCGCGGUAAU
rnacentral:rRNA from 1 species